AAUUCUCAACAGCAAAAUACAGAACCAGCCCAAAUUCCCAUCAAUCAACAAGUGGUUAAAGAAAUUGUGAUAUACAUAUAAUGGAAUACUACUCAGCCAUAAAAAGGUAUGAAUUAAUGGCAUUUGCAGCAGCAACCUGAAUGGAACUGGAAACUAUUAUUCUAAGUGAAAUAAUUCAGAAUGGAAAACCAAACAUCGUAUAUUCUCACUCAUAAGUGGGAGCUAAGCUAUGAGGAUGCAAAGGCAUAAGAACAAUACAAUGAACUUUGGGGGCUUGGGGAAAGGGUGGGAGGGCGGUGAGAGAUAAAAGACUACAAACUGGGUUCAGUGUAUACUGCUUGGUGAUGGGUUUUUUUGGUGACUAUUUUCUAAUGUAGUAUUUUCAUUUAUUUUUUUUUAUUUUUUGAGACAGAGUCUCACUCUGCCGCCCAGGCUGGAGUGCAAUGGCGCGAUCUCGGCUGACAACCUCUGCCUCCUGGGUUCAAGUGAUUCUUCUGCCUCAGCCUCUCAAGUAGCUGGGACUACAGGUGCGCGCCACCACACCUGGCUAAUUUUUGUAAUUUUAGUACAGAGGGGGUGUCACUAUAUUGGCCAGGCUGGUCUCGAACUCCUGACCUAGUGAUCUGCCCAUCCAUCUUGGCCUCCCAAAGUGCUGGGAUUACAGACGUGAGCCAUCGCACCUGGUCGUAUUUUCAUUUCUUUAAUAGUUUCUCAUUACAAGAGAAACUUUGUUGAUUUUUUUUUUUUUUUUUUUUUGAGAGAGAGGGUCUUACUCUCUUGCCCAGGCUAGAGUGCAGUGGCAUAAUUAUAGCUCACUGUAACCUCUAACUCACAGGCUCAGGUGAUCCUCCUGCCUCAGCCUCUCAAGUAGUUGGGACUACAAGCACUCACCACCACAUCUGGCUAAUUUUUACAUUUUUGUAGAGACAAGUUCUCACUAUGUUGCCCAGGCUGGUUGUGAACUCCUGGCCUCAAGUGAUCCUCUCAUCUCAGCCUCCCAAAGUGCUGAGGUUACAGGCAUAUAAUCUCAGCCACUGCACAGUCCUGAAUUUUUAGGUCAGUCUAGGCUUUACCAUAUGCAUCUUUCAGAACUAGGCUAAUUACAUGCAAACAUUGCUCUUAUAUAUCUCUAUUUUCAUUUUCUCCUUUUUGUGAUAGUUAUACAUAUUAAUAUUACAAACUCAACAACACAUUGCUAUUAUUACUUUACCAACUGCAGUUUCUCUAGCUCCGUACACCUUUGCUCUUUCCUGCUCAUUUCCUUUGUACCAUUAUCAGAAAAUUUCAUAAACAUUACAUUUUCAUAUUUAUAGGGCCACUAUUAUAUAUAGUGUUUAUAUAAUUUGUUUCUUCUUAAAAUCAAGAGGAGAUAUUCAUUUGUACUGUCCUAUAUAAUUACACAAUUACCUUUACUGGUAUGUAUUCAAAUUACUAUCUGGAGUCCCUUGCUUUCAACCUGGAGUCCUCUUUUAGUAUUUCUUGCAAGGCAAGUCUCCCAGCAACAAAUUCUCUUUUUAUCUGAGAAAGUCUGUGUUUCACCUUCAGUUUUGAAAGUAGUUUGCUGGAUAUAGAAUUAUUGGUUGACAUUUUUUUUUUAUUUUGAGCAUUUUGAAAGUGAUCUGCUACUUUCUGGCUUUGUUGUUUCUCCUAAAAUGGUCAGCUGUUGAUAUUUCCUUGCGAGUAACAAGUUGCUUUUCUCUUGCUACUUUCAAGCUUUUCUCCUGUCUUUUAGCUUUUUUGUUUUUGUUAGGACAUGUCUGUUUUUUAAACUCUUUGUGUUUAUGCUACUUGGAAUUCAUAUAGGUUCCUGAAUAUGUAAGUUAUUGUUUUACAAAAAAUUUGGGAAAAUUUUUAGCUGUCAUUUCUUUGAAUGUAUUUUCAGCUCCCUUCUCUCUCCUCUUCUACUGAAACUCCUAUGAUGUGUAUGUUGGUGUCCUUAAAGGUCACACAUAUUUCUCUGAGGCCAUGUUCACUUUUAAAAAAUUCUUUUUCCUCUAAUCUCUAUCAAUCUUUCUUCAAGUUCAUUUACUAUUUCUUCUGCCAAUUCUACUACUGAGCUUCUGUAAUGAAUUUUUUAUUGCAGUUACUGUUCAACUCCAGAAUUUCUACUUAGUUCGGUAUCUCUUUGAUAUUUGAUAUAAUGUCAUUGCACCUUCCUUUUCUUCUUCAAUUAUUGUUUCCUUUAAUUCUGGGAAUGUUUUUAAUGGCAACUUUCAAGUUUUUUCUCAUAACUUGACAUCCUGUCACUCUCAAUUUUUUUUUUUUUUUUUUGAGAGUCUCGCUCUGUUGCCCAGGUUGGAGUGCAGUUGUGUGAACUUGGCUCGUUGCAACCCCUACCUCCUGGAUUCAAGUGAUUCUCUGCCUCAGCCUCUCAAGUAGCUGAGACUACAGGUGUGCACCACCACGCUAAUUUUUGUAUUUUUAGUAGAAAUGGGGUUUCCCCAUGUUGGCCAGGCUGGUCUCAAACUCCUAUCCUCAAGGGAUCCACCCACCUUGGCUUCCCAAAGUGCUGGGAUUACAGGCAUGGGCCCCACACCUGGCCUCAUAGUCACUGUUUUGUUCCUUGCUUUAUUUCUAGUGUAUAAGUUGUACUUUCCUGUCUCUGCAUGCUUUUGUAUUUGUUACAGACUGGAUAUUUUAAAUAUGUUGUAGCAACUCUGGAUACCAGUCGUUCCCUUCUCAUAUCCCUGGGGUUUGUCACUGCUUAGUGACUGGCUAUUUUAGUGUAGCCCCUCCCAUCCACCAGUAUUAAGCCUCUGUUGUUGCUCCUCAGGUUGUCAUGACUGGGUAUGCCCAGUCUCCUUGGGAUGACAGUGUUUUUUUCUAGGCCCAGCUUACUCUAUUCACGACCAUGUCUAGCUGUUGAUCUCCAGUAAUUGCCAGCUCUACUGUUUUCAACAAUGUUCUGAGUCAUAAAUUGCUCUACAAGCUAAUUCUAUCAUAUUGUGACUCCUUUGAAGAAAAGGUUUCACAUUUGUUCUAAUCCCAGGAGAGGUCCUGUGAGCUGUCUUAUUCCCUGGUUCUCCUGCAAACUAGCUGGUCUACAGUUUAUACAGAUGUUGAAUCUCUUCAGUUGCUUUUUACCACAACCUCUAGUGGUAUGUCCUGAGAUUUGAAAUUAUCUGUGCUGUGUUACAAAUGAAGUCCCUUUGUUUUGGAAGACAUUAGGGGUUAUUUCAUCUGGUUCAGUUCCCAGGUAAAAUCUCUAAACCAGGGCAUUGGAACUGUAACAAUGGCAAGCUUCUGUGUGACACACCACCACCUCUAUCUCCACCCUAGAAACUGAGUGCUUAGUGGAGGGGGUUGGGCAGCAGCCUGAAGCCUUCUCAGCUUAACUCUUCUGGCACAGAACUAUCACCUCAUGAGCCAGGGGAAAGAUCAUCUGUGUCCCAGUAUUCUAAACAUGCCACACCCAACGUAAAGCCUCUGGUGGCAAAGUGGGAGCUGAGUGGAAGAUGUGAACCCAUAAUGUUCAACUGCACUCCCCUGGGUUUUAACCUCAGCAAAAGCAGCUGGGGGCAGACCAAGAAUUGUUAACAUCCUGCUUUUCCCAAGAAGAGGGUUCUCCAACUGGGAGGUGAGGAAAAGGGAGCCCUGUGUUCUUGGCUGCAGCAGUCUGGAGUCUCCACAUUAAUAAGCAUAGAGGAAGCAAGGAAGCAAUCUAGGUUUAAAUAUCACAAACUCCCAUUUCCUACACAAUUUUCGCAUUUCCUUGAAUAGCUGUUUUUCUCAUCUGCUGUUUGCUCACAGGAUCAUUUACAGAGGCUUUACAUAAAUAAAUAGCUUUAUUUUACAUGGUUAUAUUUUAUUUUACAUAUAUUUUGUUUUACAUAAAUAACUGGUGAAAAUAAUUAUCACCAGUUUCCCUGAGGAGGGGGUAAGCACAGCUCUUCACACUAUCACGCCAGUCAUUCAGUUUUCUUUUUUUUUUGACACAGUCUGGCUCUGUUGCCCAGGCUGGAGUGCAGUGGCGCCAUCUCAGCUCACUGCAACCUCUGCCUCCUGAGUUUUCAAGCAAUUCUCCUGCCUCAACCUCCCGAGUAGCUGGGACUACAGGCACCCACCACUACACCCGGUUAAUUUUUGUAUUUUUAGUAGACACAGGGAUUCACCAUGUUGACUAGGCUGGUGUUG
rnacentral:lncRNA from 1 species